rnacentral:rRNA from 1 species
GACGAACGCUGGCGGCGUGCUUAGCACAUGCAAGUCGAACGCUGAAGCUUGGUGCUUGCACUGGGUGGAUGAGUGGCGAACGGGUGAGUAAUACGUGAGUAACCUGCCCUUGACUCUGGGAUAAGCCUGGGAAACUGGGUCUAAUACUGGAUACGACAUGUCACCGCAUGGUGGUGUGUGGAAAGGGUUUUACUGGUUUUGGAUGGGCUCACGGCCUAUCAGCUUGUUGGUGGGGUAAUGGCUCACCAAGGCGACGACGGGUAGCCGGCCUGAGAGGGUGACCGGCCACACUGGGACUGAGACACGGCCCAGACUCCUACGGGAGGCAGCAGUGGGGAAUAUUGCACAAUGGGCGGAAGCCUGAUGCAGCGACGCCGCGUGAGGGAUGACGGCCUUCGGGUUGUAAACCGCUUUCAGCACGGAAGAAGCGAAAGUGACGGUACGUGCAGAAGAAGCGCCGGCUAACUACGUG